UACCAGCACCCCGGGUGGUCGGGACGUUUAUUGGGCCUAAAGCAUCCGUAGCCGGUUCUACAAGUCUUCCGUUAAAUCCAGCUGCUUAACAGAUGGGCUGCGGAAGAUACUAUAGAGCUAGGAGGCGGGAGAGGCAAGCGGUACUCGAUGGGUAGGGGUAAAAUCCGUUGAUCCAUUGAAGACCACCAGUGGCGAAGGCGGCUUGCCGGAACGCGCUCGACGGUGAGGGAUGAAAGCUGGGGGAGCAAACCGG
rnacentral:rRNA from 1 species